AUUAUCUAUGCUCGUGCCUACACUUAUGAGCAUCAGUACAACCUCCUCCUUGGCUUAGCUGCUAAAAUGUCUGAAGAACCGGUGUGAUGUUACUGACAUUGAACAGAGUUAUCUUCAGUUGCAAUAUUAUGGGAUAUGGAGAGUUAACAGAAUUGACUUAUGGCAGAUUGUAGAUUCAAUGAUUGCUUUGUAUAGGGUGGACUUUUCAGGAAGAGGAGAGCUUGCAGCGCCAGCCAAAACUGGCACAAAUGCUUUCUUGAUUGAUAAAGAUAGCUGCAGAAUUCAAUGUUGCAGUUUACAUGACAAAUCAAGAGGUCUGCCUUCAAAUAUAUGCAAAUUGUUCUGGAUGGUUUCACCAUAAACUGCUGAAGCAGAUGAAAUAUCCUCCAUUCUCAUGUCUAUUUUCAGGUGUUGACUACAAGAUCAAGGUUUGGAACUACAAGCUGCACAGUUACUAAGUAGAAUAUAAUUUCAAGCUCAUAGUGAAUACUAGAAUCAAGGUACAAAGCUGACUCGGCGCACCUACGAUCAUUCAGCGACACCCCAAUCAUUGCCACCCGUGGCCUCCCUCCUCUCCACGGCACAACGACGAUUCAGUACCUUCCCCACGGCGUUUGUUCCCUGAUUUUCAUCUUCACAAGCGGCUGUCUUCCCUUAUGAUCACCCUCUCUGCCAUUAUGCCCUCAUCUCAGGUAUCUUCAAGCAGUAUUUUUCAUUUUUCAAAUUUUUUAAUGUGAUUGAUUAGUUGCCUGAUUAGUUUGAGUUAAUAAUUUGAUUAGUUGUCUCAAAUUUCUCCUUUCCAUAAUUACAGUAACUUGACAAAUAGCUCAGAAACCUUAACACUGAUUCAGUAACAUCUACAGUUAGUGGAUCCAUGUUCUACAUGUUUUCCCCCUUUUAACUCUUGCCAAAUUGGUGCUAUAUAAAUAAUGUGCAACAGGAAUUUGAGAUAAUGUGCCACAGUGAAUUUAGGGAAUGGAGGCUACUCUUAAUGAAUAUCCUUGACAAGCUUCUUUUUAGCAUACGGCUCAAACUGAUUAGACUUCUCAAAUUAAGCUUCUUUUUCUUCAUUCAUUUUGAUGGUGUUAAGAGUCCGGAAUAAAAGGAUGCUAUCCACAAAUUUUUUGGUUGUGAUUUCGUAUUUUCUUUGACAAAUAAUUCAAGUAGUUUGGCAGAAGAUGAGUAUUAAUCCACGAUUGAAGUUCAAUUCAAUCUCUUCAAUUUAUUGAAAUUUUUAUGUUGGUUAUUGAGUUGAUUUUCACUGUGCAAUUGUUACUCAGUGAUUCAUUCUUUUGAGUAUAUAGAUCCAUUGUAAGGGACUGGUCUAUCUCUCACCCUUUUGCAUAUGUUGUUGUAUACUAUUGCUUAUUAGUUAUUUUUUCUCUUGAGGCUUUUAUGAAAUGGAUGAUGGAAAUGUUUUAUCUUUGUGAGAGAGUAGAGGGGUGAAAGUUUUAUUAAUUAGCAUCUUCUGUUUCUCUUUAAUUGUUUUGAGGAUUUGUUUAAUUAGUUACAUAUAUUAAAAAUUCUUCUUUAUUCAAAAUUCCAUUGCAUUAUGACCUCCAGAUAAGAUGUCGGCUAUCAUUUCCAUUAUUGUAACUUCAUGCAGAAUAAGAAAUCAAACCCAGGGACCAAAUUAGGACAUUUGAAACAUGGUAGGAGCUAAAGGGAAGAUUAUUAUCUCAUAAGGGAGAAUUCUUAACAUAAUCUGAACCUUCUCUUCUUGCAUGUUACAUAUGGCCGAAAAAUCAUUGUUGUGUUUGUGUGACUGAAUUCUUAUUUCAUUAUCUUCCCCUCAGCAAGCUAAAUACAGAAAAAGCAAUGUACUAUGCUUUUAUGCUCUGAUUAUUUUACUCUGCAUUUUCAUCUUUUGGCAUGCACUAUUGGAAAUAGUAUUUCAUUGUAGUUUGCAGAAGAUAACUGAUGUCAACCUCCAGGAAAUUGGUUUGGUGGAUUUCAUCGUGUUGCGUUGGAAGCAAUCUUUUUAAAUAAAGGCUUUGGAUUUCACCUUUGAAAUCUCCAUCUCCAAGUUUGCCUUCUGUGAGUAUUUGAUGUGUUUAGUUUAAUUAAGAGUAUAGCUAAACUCAGGGUUUGAAGAUAUAAAAACUCAAACUCCUUUUGGAUUGAGAACUAUGGAACUUGCAAUGACAGUGUUUGAAGAUAUCUCAACAACUCAAACUCAUGUAUGGUCACUCAAUAGUUUAAUUCAAUAACAGUAAAGGAAGUCGAAGAAAGAAGAAAACCAAAUUUGGUGCUAUAGUUCCACUGUGAAAGAACUACUUUGGUUCUUUCUGGUAACUUCACACACACUCACUGUGCCUCUUUUGAUUCUCUCCCCUGUCACCCAGCAAUUGAGACUCCUACACAUUACAAGCAAUUAAUUAAUAUACAUUGCCAUAGUAUAUAUUUUUAACUUUUUAUAUUUUUGAGUGUCGUAUGUGCACAGUCUAUUUGUGCCAAAAAUCCAAUAACUGAUUAUACAAUGAUUUCCAAAUACUUAACUCAGGAAGUUCUAUUGUUAGGAAGUUACUCUA